UACGAAGGGGGCUAGCGUUGCUCGGAAUCACUGGGCGUAAAGCGCACCUAGGCGGCUUCUUAAGUCAGGGGUGAAAUCCUGGAGCUCAACUCCAGAACUGCCUUUGAUACUGAGGAGCUCGAGUCCGGGAGAGGUGAGUGGAACUCCGAGUGUAGAGGUGAAAUUCGUAGAUAUUCGGAAGAACACCAGUGGCGAAGGCGACUCACUGGACAUGUACUGACGCUGAGGUGCGAAAGCGUGGGGAGCAAACAGG
rnacentral:rRNA from 1 species